AGUGAGACAGCUGGGUCAAAUGGUGGUUCCAUUCCAAGUUUUCUGAGGAAUCUCCAUACUGCUUUCCAAAGUGGUUGUACCAAUUUACAAUCCCACCAGAAAU
rnacentral:pre_miRNA from 1 species